AUGAUUUUUUUUGUUUUCCCCUGGUCUCUCUCUCUCUUCUCUUCUCCAACUCUCCCGUGUCUCUCUCUCGAACCUCAUCUCUCUCCCUCGCUGCAACUCCUUUUCCCCGAGCAACACUCAGCCACGCCAUCUGCUGAGGACAUCACCAUCAAAACCUCUGCAGGUUUUCUCUCUCUCGUUGUAGAAAGGACGACGAAAUCCUGCAACUCCUUUUCCCUAAGCAACACUCAACCACACCAUCUGCUGAGGACGUCACCAUCAAAACCUCUGCAAUUUUCUCUCUCGUUGUAGAAAGGACGACGAAAUCCCAGGAGCCUCCGGCGAGCACUGUCCCUUUCGAGGCCAUUUCCUGCCAAACCGCGGUGAGUUGGCCGGCAUUUAAGUUUCCGGCGAGUCCGACAGCUUUCGAGGCGUUUUCCGGCCAAACCACGGCGAGUUAGACGUCGUGCGAGGGGCAAUUAUAGUGGCAUUUCUGUCUUUGCUAGUUGCGUGACUUUUCGACGGCGAAGUACUGAUUUAGAAUCGAGGCAUACGAUCACGACGUCAACGUCUUCACUUUGGCAUAUUCGAGUCCUCUCGGUGUAGGACCACAUCCGUUAUUUAUUAAAUUUUAUAUUAAUUCUUUUAGAACUUUAGUUAGUUGUAUGUUCUGA